CCUCUGCAGGUGGGAAUGUGUCUAUCAUCAUCCCAUGUGGCAAGGGAGGUAUCCCUUCCUUCUUCCAGGAGAUGCCACUUCAGCCUUGUCCUAAGAGAUUUUGAAGGGAAUGCAGCACCCUCUUCCUCAGACAAAAGGAGAGGUGCAGAAAGAACUGAAACCAUUUGGGAUGACACUUUCCAGGGCUAGAGUAUCCCGGAGGAUAGAUUAUUGUUUUGGAAAAUCCCUUCAGCUACUUUUGAAAAUUCUGGGAAAAAGAAAUGAAAUUCUCAUGGUACAUCACAGGUUCAACCUUUUGGCCCUGUGGGCCAGAAGAGUGGUGUGGGGCCAGGCUGAGGGCUGGAUUGGGCCCUGGUACCUGGAACUGCUUGCUUUUUGCCCCGCACACAGGCAUUGUGCCCCAGGGGCCUAGCACCACUCCUUCCUGCAGGGAUUGGAUCCUGGAGGCCUGACACCACCGCCUCCAACCCCUUGUGCAUCUGGAUUGGAUGUUGGGGGCCCGGUACCAUGCCCUCCCACUUUCCAUAUGCUGGGAUUUGGUUCUGGGGGUCUGACACCUUUACCAGCUGGCACUGAAUGCUGGGAUUGGGCUCCCCAGGGGUCCAGAGAUUUGGCAGUAGGGAAUCAUGAUGCUGUUCCCCACUGCCAAAUUCUGAACCCUGGGGCUGUCUUGUGGGCUAGAUGAUAUGAUGCCAUAGGCUGGCUCUCACCCAUGGCCCAGAAGUUUAGCACCCCUGUUAUAAACUAGUGGUACUCAACUUUUUGGCCUGGCAGACCAAAUGAGUGUCAGGGGUUGUUUGCUGGCCAGAUCGAGCCCCACACUCCAGGAUUUGGGCCCACCAUCACCCCCUCCCUGCUCUGAGAGCCAGGAGUGGGACCUGGGACCUGGCAUCAUCCCUUCACACCCCCAUGUUCCAUGCCCACCCAAUCCUGCAUGCUGGGAUCACCACCCAAUCCAGCAUACAGGGCCUGGGGCUCUCCAAGGGCCCAGAAAUUUGGCAGUGGAAGUGUGGUGCCACCAUGCUCCUGAUGCCAAAUUUCCAGACCUGUGGGAAGCCCCAUGGGCAGGCUCUGGACCACUGGUCAAGGAUUGAGCAUCCCUGCUUUAGAUGAAUGCACAUUUUAUAAUUUUUAAUCAUUUGCUUGAUAUGCCUUACCUGGGCUAUUUGGACAUUUAUAUCUUAUCUGUAUUUUUUAAAUUAAAUAUGCUAU